UGACGGUACCUGCAGAAGAAGCGCCGGCUAACUUCGUGCCAGCAGCCGCGGUAAUACGUAGGGUGCAAGCGUUGUUCGGAAUUAUUGGGCGUAAAGAGCUCGUAGGCGGCUUGUCGAGUCGGAUGUGAAAGCCCGGGGCUUAACCCCGGGUCUGCAUUCGAUACGGGCAGGCUAGAGUUCGGUAGGGGAGAUUGGAAUUCCUGGUGUAGCGGUGAAAUGCGCAGAUAUCAGGAGGAACACCGGUGGCGAAGGCGGAUNNCUGGGCCGAUACUGACGCUGAGGAGCGAAAGCGUGGGGAGCGAACAGGAUUAGAUACCCUGGUAGUCCACGCCGUAAACGGUGGGCACUAGGUGU
rnacentral:rRNA from 1 species